GUAUAAGAGACAGCAGCAGCCGCGGUAAUACAGAGGGUGCGAGCGUUAAUCGGAUUUACUGGGCGUAAAGCGUGCGUAGGCGGCUUUUUAAGUCGGAUGUGAAAUCCCUGAGCUUAACUUAGGAAUUGCAUUCGAUACUGGGAAGCUAGAGUAUGGGAGAGGAUGGUAGAAUUCCAGGUGUAGCGGUGAAAUGCGUAGAGAUCUGGAGGAAUACCGAUGGCGAAGGCAGCCAUCUGGCCUAAUACUGACGCUGAGGUACGAAAGCAUGGGGAGCAAACAGGAUUAGAUACCCGAGUAGUCCCUGUCUCUUAUAC
rnacentral:rRNA from 1 species